rnacentral:rRNA from 1 species
CGAACGAACCUUCGGGUUAGUGGCGGACGGGUGAGUAACGCGUGAGAAUCUGCCCUCAGGAGGGGGAUAACAGCUGGAAACGGCUGCUAAUACCCCAUAUGCCGCGAGGUGAAAUGAAUUUCGCCUGAGGAUGAGCUCGCGUCUGAUUAGCUAGUUGGUGUAGGUAAUGGCUCACCAAGGCAUCGAUCAGUAGCUGGUCUGAGAGGAUGAUCAGCCACACUGGGACUGAGACACGGCCCAGACUCCUACGGGAGGCAGCAGUGGGGAAUUUUCCGCAAUGGGCGAAAGCCUGACGGAGCAACGCCGCGUGAGGGAUGAAGGCCUCUGGGCUGUAAACCUCUUUUAUCAAGGAAGAAGAUCUGACGGUACUUGAUGAAUAAGCCACG